ensembl:lncRNA
GAAAAACAUACUCAAGAUCCUGGUGGGAUGUCUGCACAGCCACCUUUGGAAGACAGUCUGACAGUUUUCUCCAAAGCUAAACAGACUCAUCAUCUAGGAUGCAAUACUGCUGCUGCCACUGCUGCCAAGUCACUCCAGUCGUGUCUGACUCUGUGCGACCCCAUAGACGGCAGCCCACCAGGUUCCGCCGUCCCUGGGAUUCUCCAGGCAAAAAUACCGGAGCAGGUUGCCAUUUCCUUCUUCAAUGCAUGAAAGUGAAAAGUGAAAGUGAAGUUGCUCAGUCGUAUCCGACUCCUAGCGACCCCAUGGACUGCAGCCCACCAGGCUCCUCCGUCCGUGGGAUUUUCCAGGGACUGCAUAAGCUGACGAAAGCUGAAGCACCAGCAGGUCCUGAGGAUCUUAGCGCAAAGAAAGCCAGAACUGGGAAGAUAAAGGGGUACAGCAGGGCCCCCACCCCGUUCCAGUCCUCCUGCUUCCCAGCCUGCUCUCUGGGCCUGGAGGAGGGUCCUCUCCGACUGGUCCGGUGUGGACACAUGGGCAGCGUCACUGUGUGGUGACAGCCGGGCACACAGGGCCCCUGGGCCACAUGCAGCCGCCCAGGGCUUCCAGGAGCCCAUGUGCAAGCGCCGGGACAGACAUCUGACACACAGACUCACCACCUAAAGUGGAAACACCUGGUUCCUGGGAAUCUGGAACUUAGCUUUUUUAAGGCCCUUUCCUUGGCCCUCGCCCUUCUGGGCUGCUGUCUCCUCCUGACUCCUCCCCCUGAGACGUGUGGCUCACAGGAGCAUCCCCAGGACCUGAGCUACUCAGCAGCUCCCACUGUGGUCCAGCCUCUCAGAGGGCCUGAUCCACCGCCUGUUGUAAACAGGGGAACUCGCCGUGGAAAGGCCCCUGCGCGACGGUCAGGAGACAGCUGCGCAGGGACGGCCACGCCCACGCCGCCUUCUCCGCCUGCCCACGCCGCCAAGGCUGCUGGGUUCACGGACUCUCUUCUCCUAGUAAGGGCUUCAGAGAUCCCCUCGGUCCUUCUGAAGUGUUCUGGAACGCGAGUGCAGGAAGCUAGCACACACUUUCCGUAUUCCGCUCCUGCAAUACGGCUCAAGCCUUUCCCCUUCACGACCGCACUGGCAGUGUCGGGAGUCACUUGGAUCAUUUUUCCGUUUAGUUGCUCUGAUUAACUCCAAGGACAACACGCCUACACGCGUCUCUAACUGGAGCAUGCACGGCCCCAGUUCCGGGCAAGAGCGACGCAAACAGUGUGUCUGUGAUACAGCUUCCUGGGGCAUCAUGUUUAUUCCCCGUGCUUUACAAGGACACCCAUUCAGCCUGAACUAACCCCACAAUGUCCCAAAGCCGAAACACCAAUGGUCCUGAGGAGACCCAUCUCCUGUCAGCUUGAAGUGAACCCCACAGUGUCCCAAGGCCAAAGCCUGAGCAGGUCCUGAGGAGGCCAGACUCCCUGUCUUCCUGAACUGAGUCUCACAAUGUCCCAAAGCUGAAGCCCCAGCGGGUCCUGAGGAGACCAGACUCCCUUCAGCCUGAACUGAACCCCACAACGUCCCAAAGCUGAAGCCCCAGCGGGUCCUGAGGAGACCAGAGACUCCCGUCAGCCUGAACUGAACCCCACAACGUCCCAAAGCUGAAACCCCAGUGGGUCCUGAGGAGACCAGACUCCAGUCAGCAGCCACAGGCAGCCAGGUGCUCAGGCAGAGCGGGAAUUCCGCUUGGGGUGCGGGUGGUCGAGGAGGCGGGCUCCUCGCUCCCUGCCAGCCAAUGGGAACUGCAGAUCAAGCCUCCCUCACUCACGCUGCUGCUGCUGCUGCUGCUGCUGCUGCUGCUGCUGCUGCUGCUGCUGCGUCGCUUCAGUCGUGUCCGACUCUGUGCGACCGCAGAGACGGCAGCCCACCAGGCUCUGCCGUCCCUGGGAUUCUCCAGGCAAGAAUACUGGAAUGGGUUGCCAUUUCCUUCUCCAAUGCAUGAAAGUGAAAAGUGAAAGUGAAGUCACUCAGUCGUGUCCGACUCUAGCGACCUCAUGGACUGCAGCCUACCAGGCUCCUCCAUCCAUGGGAUUUUCCAGGCAAGAGUACUGGAGUGGAGUGCCAUUGCUUUCUCCGCCCUCACUGGCGCAGGCACAGCUAAGUGGAGACUCCGCCCCUCGGGGCAGUUCUGCUAGGUCCAUUAAACUAUGGAAAUUCAAACUGAAAUAUUGCCAAUAUCCAAAACUUCUCCAAAAUAGUUAAGGAAUAAUUAACUUGAAACUGUAUAGAAUGAAACGUAGUCACCAAAUUCUCUCAAAUUUAUUAACAGACAUUUAAAAUUUGAAACUAUCAAAAU